CUACUCCCGGGCCAUUUCUGGGCAACAGCUGCUAUUUUCACUUGAGCCCAAGUUAAUUUCUCGGGGAGUUCUGGGGCGCGCACACGCAGCUCGGUUUGCCCUGCGAUUGAGCUGCGGGUCGCGGCCGGCGCCGGCCUCUCCAAUGGCAAAUGUGUGUGGUUGGAGGCGAGCGCGAGGCUUUCAGCAAAGGCAGUCGAGUGUUUGCAGACCGGGGCGAGUCCUGUGAAAGCAGAUAAAAGAAAACAUUUAUUAACGUGUCAUUACGAGGGGAGCGCCCGGCCGGGGCUGUCGCACGCCCCGCGGAACACUUGGCUCCCUCCAGCUCCGAGAGAGAAGAAAGCGGAAAAGAGGCAGAUUCACGUCGUUUCCAGCCAAGUGGACCUGAUCGAUGGCCCUCCUGAAUUUAUCACGAUAUUUGAUUUAUUAGCGAUGCCCCCUGGUUUGUGUGUUACACACACACACGCACACACGGCUCUGGCUCGCUUCUCUCCCUCGUUUCCAGCUCCUGGGCGAAUCCCACAUCUGUUUCAACUCUCCGCCGAGGGCCAGCGGGAGCGAGAGUGUGUCGGAUCUGCGAAUAAAGAGGGACGAGGGAAAAGAAACAAAGCCACAGACGCAACUUCAGGCUCCGGCAUCCCAAAAGAAGCACCAGAUCAGCAAAAAAAGAAGAUGGGCCCCCCGAGCCUCGUGCUGUGCUUGCUGUCCGCAACUGUGUUCUCCCUGCUGGGUGGAAGCUCAGCCUUCCUGUCGCACCACCGCCUGAAAGGCAGAUUUCAGAGGGACCGCAGGAACAUCCGCCCCAACAUCAUCCUGGUGCUGACGGAUGACCAGGAUGUGGAGCUGGGUUCCAUGCAGGUGAUGAACAAGACCCGGCGCAUCAUGGAGCAGGGCGGGGCACACUUCAUCAACGCCUUCGUGACCACGCCCAUGUGCUGCCCCUCGCGCUCCUCCAUCCUCACCGGCAAGUACGUCCACAACCACAACACCUACACCAACAACGAGAACUGCUCCUCGCCCUCCUGGCAGGCACAGCACGAGAGCCGCACCUUCGCCGUGUACCUCAAUAGCACCGGCUACCGGACAGCUUUCUUCGGGAAGUAUCUUAAUGAAUACAACGGCUCCUACGUGCCGCCCGGCUGGAAGGAGUGGGUCGGACUCCUUAAAAAUUCCCGCUUUUAUAACUACACGCUGUGUCGGAACGGGGUGAAAGAGAAGCACGGCUCCGACUACUCCAAGGAUUACCUCACAGACCUCAUCACCAAUGACAGCGUGAGCUUCUUCCGCACGUCCAAGAAGAUGUACCCGCACAGGCCAGUCCUCAUGGUCAUCAGCCAUGCAGCCCCCCACGGCCCUGAGGAUUCAGCCCCACAAUAUUCACGCCUCUUCCCAAACGCAUCUCAGCACAUCACGCCGAGCUACAACUAUGCGCCCAACCCGGACAAACACUGGAUCAUGCGCUACACGGGGCCCAUGAAGCCCAUCCACAUGGAAUUCACCAACAUGCUCCAGCGGAAGCGCUUGCAGACCCUCAUGUCGGUGGACGACUCCAUGGAGACGAUUUACAACAUGCUAGUUGAGACGGGCGAGCUGGACAACACGUACAUCGUGUACACCGCCGACCACGGCUACCACAUCGGCCAGUUUGGCCUGGUGAAAGGGAAAUCCAUGCCGUAUGAGUUUGACAUCAGGGUCCCGUUCUACGUGAGGGGCCCCAACGUGGAAGCCGGCUCUCUGAAUCCCCACAUCGUCCUCAACAUUGACCUGGCCCCCACCAUCCUGGACAUUGCAGGCCUGGACAUACCCGUGGAUAUGGACGGGAAAUCCAUCCUCAAGCUGCUGGACACGGAGCGGCCGGUGAAUCGGUUUCACUUGAAAAAGAAGAUGAGGGUCUGGCGGGACUCCUUUCUGGUGGAGAGAGGCAAACUGCUACACAAGAGAGACCGUGACAAGGUGGAUGCCCAGGAGGAGAACUUUCUGCCCAAGUACCAGCGUGUGAAGGACCUGUGUCAGCGCGCUGAGUACCAGACGGCGUGUGAGCAGCUGGGACAGAAGUGGCAGUGUGUGGAGGACGCCACGGGGAAGCUGAAGCUGCAUAAGUGCAAGGGCCCCGUGCGGCUGGGCGGCGGCAGAGCCCUCUCCAACCUCGUGCCCAAGUACUACGGGCAGGGCAGCGAGGCCUGCACCUGUGACAGCGGGGACUACAAGCUCAGCCUGGCCGGACGCCGGAAAAAGCUCUUCAAGAAGAAGUACAAGGCCAGCUACGCCCGCAAUCGCUCCAUCCGCUCAGUGGCCAUCGAGGUGGACGGCAGGGUGUACCACGUAGGCCUGGGUGAUGCCGCCCAGCCCCGAAACCUCACCAAGCGGCACUGGCCAGGGGCCCCUGAGGACCAAGAUGACAAGGAUGGUGGGGAUUUCAGUGGCACUGGAGGCCUUCCCGACUACUCAGCCGCCAACCCCAUUAAAGUGACACAUCGGUGCUACAUCCUAGAGAACGACACAGUCCAGUGUGACCUGGACCUGUACAAGUCCCUGCAGGCCUGGAAAGACCACAAGCUGCACAUCGACCACGAGAUUGAAACCCUGCAGAACAAAAUUAAGAACCUGAGGGAAGUCCGAGGUCACCUGAAGAAAAAGCGGCCAGAAGAAUGUGACUGUCACAAAAUCAGCUACCACACCCAGCACAAAGGCCGCCUCAAGCACAAAGGCUCCAGUCUGCAUCCUUUCAGGAAGGGCCUGCAAGAGAAGGACAAGGUGUGGCUGUUGCGGGAGCAGAAGCGCAAGAAGAAACUCCGCAAGCUGCUCAAGCGCCUACAGAACAACGACACGUGCAGCAUGCCAGGCCUCACGUGCUUCACCCACGACAACCAGCACUGGCAGACCGCGCCUUUCUGGACACUGGGGCCUUUCUGUGCCUGCACCAGCGCCAACAAUAACACGUACUGGUGCAUGAGGACCAUCAAUGAGACUCACAAUUUCCUCUUCUGUGAAUUUGCAACUGGCUUCCUAGAGUACUUUGAUCUCAACACAGACCCCUACCAGGUACAGACGACCCAAGCUAGAGAGAUGGGGGUGUGGGGUACACCAGUGUUGCCAGGUAAGCCCCCCCACAACCUCACGGAAGUGAUGACAAAUUGUCCAAGUCCCACUGAGUCCCUGAGCCAGUGGGAGUAAGUUGUGAAGCUGCUGAGAUUGGGGGUUCCGUGUUCAAUCAGCGCUUUUUGCCUCCAUCACCCUGCUUUUUGCCUCCAUCACACUGCAUGUGUAAUAUAUAUGGUUUCUUCCCUCUAACUUAACAUGCAGCAUGCAACCAGGUUUUGCCGGAACUUGUGAAGACUCUUAAAACUGUCAAGCUGUAGGAUCAAGCCAAAUAUUACCCACUGCAGGGCCUACACGGACCACGCAGCUAAUGUAACAGUAACACACUGCACCAAGCACUCUGCUAAGUGCUUCCAUACAGUAAGCCAUCUAAACACACAUGCGACUGAAGUGGCCCAGGACCACACAAGACCAAAAGGAGCAGUGGCAUGUCUGGUCAUCGGAACAUGUGGGCCCUUGUACAGGGACAGUCACUACUGAGCUCCAGCACUAGAGCUUUCCUGUACUGUGGCCUUGGUAUUGCCCAGGCUUUGACUUUUCAAGAAAAGCCUGAAAUAAUUUAAAUGAAAUCUGAUGUUUAAAUGUCAGCAGCACAAAUGCUUUCAUUACUACAUAGGCGUGCAGUCUUUCUCCUUAGAUAGGUUCACCCUCAUACUUUACCAAAGGGGUAGGUUAAGUCCGUCACCGGUAGCUCCCAGACUACACAAGAACCCAGGCCACUUACCCGUCCUUUCAUCACAUCGCUGCUUUGCAAUCAGGAGGAGCUGAGGGCCCCUGAAUGAAGGCUGCUGAUAAAAACCAAGACUUGGAAGGCUUUCUUUCCAAGCUUGGGAAGUUUCCUGACCAGUGGCUGCAGAACUCCAAUGUUAAAUACACAGACAUGGUUUUUAAGGCAUGGUUUUUAUUCUCCUGAGUUUUCAUUCUCAUGAAGAGUGAACCUGGUGGGACUUGAAGCCAAAAAGUCACCUAACUCUUCCAAACGCUGGCUCUUGCAGAAGUUGGAGUAAGCAGGUCACCAGCCCCUAGCAGCUUCCACCCGCCACCUGCCUGAAAUAUGUCCCCUAGUUGGUAGAAGAAAGGCAGGGGGAGAGUCCCUGUACUUACCUUGUUGACAGACUACCUUUUUUGCAACUAGCUGAUGAACGCAGUGAACACACUGGACAGGGAUGUCCUCAACCAGCUACAUGUACAGCUCAUGGAGCUGAGGAGCUGCAAGGGUUACAAGCAGUGUAACCCCCGGACUCGAAACAUGGACCUGGGUGAGUAGGCACCCCAACAUGGGGCCCUUGGACAGCAGGGUAACCAAAAGAAGGGACUCAGGAGGUGGUGUCUACCCAAGAAUGAGCCUGAAAUCACCAGGCUUUGAGAGGUGAUACAGUUCCAGACGAGUCAUGGGAGCCCCUGUCCAUAGCAGGCAGAUGACCUUUGACAAGCUGUGCUUCUGAGAGAGGAAUACCUGCAUCAACUGCCCAGGAGACGCACGGAAUUCCCUCUCAUUUCAUUGUCCUCCCUUUUGUUCACUCAUGCAUUCAACAAACACUUCCUGAGAACUUACACCUGAAACCAUGUUGACUAAAGAUGACCCCAUCCUCGCUGACUUGUGCGGAGCCGGUGUUGUCCUAAGAAGAGCAGUCCACAGCGGGAGGCCUCUUGCUUGUAUGGAAAGGGUAAAACUGGAUGGUAGAAUCCAGUGUGACUGGGGAAGGGCACUGCUAAAUAAAACCAGGGUCAGACCUCUGAACUGAGUCCUGAAGAGUAGGACGCAAUCGACCACUGAGAAAACGUGGAGGGCUGGCGCUCCAGGAAGCUUAAAGUGUGAGGAGCAGAAAGCAGCUCAGGGGGUGCAGCCAGCACAACUGAGGCCAGUGGAGAGUGGCGGGAGGGCAUCGGGCCACCCUGUGCGGGGCUUCCUAGGCCACGGUAGAGUUUAGAUUUCAUUUGUGGUGUAUCAGGAAGCCAAUGGAGGGUUUUAACCUGGGCACCGACAUUGCUAGGUGGAGAAUGGGACUUUAUGGGAGAAAACAGCAAAGAUGGCCCAGUUAUCCAGGGAGAGAUGGUGGUGGCUUGGACUAGAGCUGGGAGCAGUGAAGAUGAUGGAUUUCAGAUUCAGGUGGUGAAGCCCCCAGAGAACAUGGUGAUGGGAGGUGCGGGAUUAGGAGUCCCAGGUAAAUCCUGAGUUUUGUUUGGGACAGGACAAAAUCUGCAGUUUUAAGCUUAGAAUGCCAACCAGAUAGAUAUUUUAAGAUGAAAAAAGCUAAACAGGCAUGGUUGCUCAUGCCUAUGAUUCCAGGGCUUUGGAAGGCUGAGGUGGGAGGAUACUUGAGCCCAGGAGUUCAAGGUUACGGUGAGCUAUGAUAGCACCACUGCACUCCAGCCUGGGAGACAGAGCUGUCGCCCCAUCUCUAAAAAUAAAAAAAUAUGUAUUAAGAAAACAAAGCUAAAAGAAAAAUGAAGUUCACUUACUAGUGAGAGAGAGUGGCCUAAAAAAAACCUUUGGUAUUUGAAGUCCCUUGGGGAAGGGACUGUGUCUAAGAGGAUGCCUAGAGUUCAUGUCAGGAAAAUGGCUACACAGCUUAGGAGGAAUUCAGACGCUACAGUCGGCUCUAGUUAUGAAGAGGGAAGAGCUAAUGUGUUUACACAAGAUGUUGCACUAAUACCUCCUGGUCAGGAGCCUGAUAUGAUCACAAUUUUCACUAGUAGCUUCCUAACCUCCGCCACUCAAGUGCUGCUACUCUUGUGAUCAAAGUGCAAUGACAUAUUAGUCACUGUGUGCCAGGCUCUGUGCUGAGCAUUUUACAUGUGUUAGCUGAUAAGCUUUGAGGUGAAUCUUCUUAUCCUCAUUUUAUGGAGGAGUAAGGUGAACAAGGUGGGCUGACCCUGGAGCCCACGCACUUGAUCCUGCCACAACCUCAGGAAAACUUCCCCAGAGCCCAAAGGGGAACUCUCCCUCCUGCACUUGGUCAGGGCUGUUGGCUUUCUGUCCUCUGGAGCACAGACGUUCAUGCCUGCGUCCACCUCCCUCACCAUAACUAAGGACUUAAAGAUGGAGGAAGCUAUGAGCAAUACAGGCAGUUUCAGCGUCGAAAGUGGCCAGAAA